rnacentral:lncRNA from 1 species
GUUCCUCUGAAGAAGUGUUGUUUCUCUGCUCUCAAUCAAGCAAAGACGCAUAAAAAAAGUGCUGGUGUUGCAGUGAGGCUUCACAACGAGAGACACGGGCUGCUUUAAUACGAAUCCUGUGGCUCUCGGGACGAUGAAGAACACCUUUGUCUGUGAUGAAUCCAUGAUCAUCACCAUUCCUGUUGGACCAUCUUGACGGUCUCUAGUUUUUAUCAAUGAUCGCUUCAAGGUCCUUGUCAUCAAGGGGAAAGCUCAGCCACUCGGAGUAAGUUCAAUGGAGGAAAUGGUAUUGCAGAGUCAAAAAUUAUGCUUUUUUCUGUCAUUGUGUGGAAAUAGAAAAACUUUCAUCAAGUUUACAAAAAUGUUAUUAACCAGUAUUUGCAUUGUCUGUUUUGUUUUCAUUAAAAUUAGGCAGCCCAAGCUGUCUUUGGUCUGCUUCUUUGUGCUCUUGCACUGGUUUUCUAUGAUACAUAUUUUUGGAUCUUUACAAUUCCAAGCAUUGUGUUUGUGAUCUGUGGCGGGUUGUCCUUUGCCGCUGGGAAAUGUCCAAACAUGAUUGUGGCAAAGCUGUCAUUUUCCCUGAACAUUCUGAGUUUAUGUUGGUCAAUUACAUCAUUUGUUUUGAAUCUGAUAAUCUUGAUCGAACAUUACUGGUACCCCUCAUAUUAUCCAUAUUAUAGGAGAAAUGAAGAAAUCCUAGCUCUGAUAUUGAGUCUGCUGGUUAUUGAAUUUUUCAUCUGCAUUUUCCUGAUCUACUGGUUGAGUAAAGCCAUUUGCAGACAACACUUUAAUAUGCUGGUAGGUAUUUCUAUGCUUAGUGUUUCUUCAGUGUUACUCAUGCAAAGAACAAAUGUAGUUUUGAUUCUCCUUCUUUACUCUGCAGCCGACUAUAGUGCUGAAACGAGGAAACUGAUAUUUGAAGAUCGGAGAGAAUCAAGAGUCAACAUCGUGUAUGCUGUACUUUGCUUGUAAAACUCAGCAAUUGUUUUCAUGUCAGAUUUCAUUUUAUGCACAGCGGUAAGGAGGUCGACUCUUGAUCAAAGCAUUGCAGGUUUGACUCCUGCCUUACCGGCCCAUGUGUCGAAGUGUCCUUGGGCAAGACACUGAACCCCAAAUUGUCUCUGGUUGAAGGUCGGCGCCAGUGUUCGGCAGCGGAGCAACCAUCAGUGUGUGAAUGUGUCUAAGACUGUAAAGCGCUUUGGGCCUUCAAAGAAAGGUAGAAACGUGCUAAAUAAGUAUACACCAUAUUACUGUAAAAUACCCACAGAGAUAGAAUCUGUUGUUUAUAGGACACUUUUUGAUUCAGCAGUGAGAUCAAUAAAGUUUACAUCUAAUCUCAUCUCCUCUGAGGAGAAUUUUGUCUUUACCUUGUUGCAAAACUUUUACUUCAUUGCUUAAAACUGCAAGUUGUCAAGAAAAGACAACUUUAAAGUGAAAAGUGACAUGAAAAGGAAAAAGGCAGGAUCUCAAGUGUGUCUGAGCAGCUCCUGGUAGGAAUCCAUGUUUUUAUCUGUAUACGUCAUUGUCAUUUUUUCACUAACUAAAUAAUGAUUAAAUUGGUCUAGAUUUUUCCUAUAUUUGGAAACUGUUAUUUUUGUCAAUAAUUGAUUCAACAGACUUGACAUAACAUUUCAGUGAGUCUGAUCAUUUAAAACUUUUUAUGUUGAUGAAAAUAAUUUCCCAUUUAUUUCUGCCUUUAAGAGUAAGAAAACUAUGGUGAUAAUAUCCUAAUGUUGAUAAAAUCCGUCCAAACAAUCAUCAACUUAAGGUUCGAUAUGUCAGACUGCUUUGAGAAUUCAAUUUAUAUCAUUUUGAAGCAACAUUAAUUCAAUUCAUAUACUAUAAUCUGGUUUUUAAGAUUUUAAUUUAAUCAAAUGUGUCAGGGAUGGUGGUGGAGGACCCAAAUGCAGGAGACCAGACUUGGUGGCAGAAACAUAAAAGUUUACUGAAUCAACUAAAACAUGACAAAACCAGGAGGACAGAACAUAGAAGAGCAGAUGACCUGACAAUGAGAAACUGAAAACCAGACACUUAAAUACACUGAGGUUGAUUAACUAAAUGAAGACAGCUGUGGAUGGUUAACCUGAACAUGGGGAAAAUGACAGGUAAAACAGAAGAUGACAAAACCUAAGCACAGAAUCAUGACAAAAUGAACCUGUAUUAUCGAUAAAAUACUUAAUAUGGAAUUAAUUACAACAGGAUCUGUGUUGGUGAAGCAAAAAUUUGAUCUGGGUCUAUAUGCUAAACUUUACUUCAGUAAAUGUCACUUAACAAAACUCUUUUAAAUUCACUGAAUUAUAAUAGAAGCACAACUAUUUCUGUCUUAGUUAAGUAACAAAUACUUGAACGUGUGGAUAGCACUUGCUUCUUAUACUUCUUAUACGGUGCAAAAUGUUCGUGAUGUUUGUGUGCACUUGCAUCACUCUGGGAGAUAAGGCUUUUUAAACUUAAACAAAAAAGUUGCUGACAUGAAAGGAGGAAGUUCUGAAAACUUAAUUUAUGUACAAAGUAAAUAGUAAAUUCUUCAAUAAAGAU